UGAUGAUGAUACACACAUCCGUACGGUC
rnacentral:sRNA from 1 species